rnacentral:rRNA from 1 species
GACGGACGCUGGCGGCGUGCCUAAUACAUGCAAGUCGAACGCUUCUUUUUCCACCGGAGCUUGCCCCACCGGAAAAAGAGGAGUGGCGAACGGGUGAGUAACACGUGGGUAACCUGCCCAUCAGAAGGGGAUAACACUUGGAAACAGGUGCUAAUACCGUAUAACAAUCGAAACCGCAUGGUUUUGAUUUGAAAGGCGCUUUCGGGUGUCGCUGAUGGAUGGACCCGCGGUGCAUUAGCUAGUUGGUGAGGUAAAGGCUCACCAAGGCCACGAUGCAUAGCCGACCUGAGAGGGUGAUCGGCCACAUUGGGACUGAGACACGGCCCAAACUCCUACGGGAGGCAGCAGUAGGGAAUCUUCGGCAAUGGACGAAAGUCUGACCGAGCAACGCCGCGUGAGUGAAGAAGGUUUUCGGAUCGUAAAACUCUGUUGUUAGAGAAGAACAAGGAUGAGAGUAAAACGUUCAUCCCUUGACGGUAUCUAACCAGAAAGCCACGGCUAACUACGUGCCAGCCGCCGCGGUAA